CUAGUCAUAUGGAUUCGCCCGCCGCGCCCCGCGCCCGUCCCGCCGCCCCCGCCCGCUCCUACGGGAGGCAGCAGUGAGGAAUAUUGGUCAAUGGGCUUACGCCUGAACCAGCCAAGUCGCGUGAGGGAAGACUGCCCUAUGGGUUGUAAACCUCUUUUGUCAGGGAGCAACGCCGGCUACGUGUAGCCGGACUGAGAGUACCUGAAGAAAAAGCAUCGGCUAACUCCGUGCCAGCAGCCGCGGUAAUACAAUCGG
rnacentral:rRNA from 1 species